GCUGCUUCCUCUACCCCUGUACCUCACUGGGCUCCCCAGACGGACUCAGCUCCAGGACCUGUAGGAAAAUAUCAGAGAUGUUGAGAGAGAAGCCCACUCAUGUUCUGGUGCUCCACUUUCCCCAUGGAAAGCUGCUCACUGGUUGGAUGGAUGGUAGAAAAUUGCUUCAUGAAUCAUGUGGAAUAGAUGGAAAGGGAAAGUGGAAAUGUCUGUGAACUCAAGAGAAGCCUUUCAUUCUAGACAUAGUAGUUAUUUUCUAAAUCAUCUUUAAACUUAUUUGCUGGAAUAUUGUGGGGGUAAAGUGCAAACUUCCCCUUCACCAUCUGAAGGUUUGCUAAAAAUCAACAGGCAGAAGGCGAAUUAACAGGAGAAAUGGCAUGCCAAUUUGUUUGAUCACAGUUUUACAUGAAGAAUGAAGACCCAAAGACACAUGAGAAAUUGUCCAUUUUUAUGCAACACCAGACCAGGCGAUGCUCUAAGACAGGUACAACAAAGUAUGGACAUGCGUGUAGAAAUACGAGUCAACUAAAGGGUGUGAUCUACUGCUAAUAGGCUGAGUGGGGACACCCAGACUCUUCCUGGCCCCUGUGAGCAGCUUCCUUUCCUUCUGGUGUGGGGCAGGAACUUCUCUGGAAUGGGGAUCUUCUGACCCACAGUCAAACAAGGAUUGGACAGAAGUCACAUCAGGGAGACCAGAGACUAGAGUAUUGCAUCAUAGAGGAAAGACACUGAUGACAAGACCUCAGGGGAGCAGUGGAACUGGAGGCCUGGGAGCUUGGGACGUGUUCUCCGGGUGAAGUUGGCUGGCCAGCUGAUGACCUACACCAGUGCCAUUCACUCCUCAUGUGUCCCCCGGGAAUUCAUAGUGUGUGUCAUCAGGUAAAAGCAACACUACUUUCAGAUGUUUUCUGAUCUCUUUGAGAUCUGGACAACACUACUGUGUACAUAUGGCCAGCAACAAAUUACACUCAAUGAAUAUUUUAGAGAGCAGCAAAGUAAUCAAUUAAAAUGUGGGUAAACAAAAAUCACUGUGAUCACAGCU
rnacentral:lncRNA from 10 species